UCCUUUUCAACAGAGCCAUAGAAAACUCACCAGAUAGAAAAAGCACCAGGAUGCAUGGCCCAUCAUAAAAUGAAUUUUGUUCAACCUCAUUCCAAACUCCCUGGUUAAAAUGCAGACCUAAAACCUUCAUUGGAAAGACAACAUAAAAAUAACACACACAUAAGUUGCAUAAAAUCCCUGAAUAAAUAAUAGCACAAAGAAUCGUGCAAUAAUAACGAUAUAUGCACAUAGCGAUAAGCCGAUAAUCAUAAUUAACAACAAUUAAAAUAUUUUGGAGCCUUUUUUGGACUCAUUUAAACCUUAAACAUAACAAAUAUCUGGAACUAAACUUAUCAACGUAUUCAGGAAAGAAAAAAGUAAAAACAAAAAAAACCUUGAAAUCUCGACAGAUGAAAAACUCCAGAAGUGAAAUCUCCGCAAACUGCAGCGGUGCCACCUUCUCGUAAAAGUAUAAUUAAGCUAUAUAAGGGAAGGAGAAAUACCUGAAAAUGGAGAAGA
rnacentral:lncRNA from 1 species